GACGAACGCUGGCGGCGUGCUUAACACAUGCAAGUCGAACGGAAAGGCCCUGCUUUUGUGGGGUGCUCGAGUGGCGAACGGGUGAGUAACACGUGAGUAACCUGCCCUUGACUUUGGGAUAACUUCAGGAAACUGGGGCUAAUACCGGAUAGGAGCUCCUGCUGCAUGGUGGGGGUUGGAAAGUUUCGGCGGUUGGGGAUGGACUCGCGGCUUAUCAGCUUGUUGGUGGGGUGGUGGAUUACCAAGGAUUGACGGGUAGCCGGCCUGAGAGGGUGACCGGCCACAUUGGGACUGAGAUACGGCCCAGAAUCCUACGGGAGGCAGCAGUGGGGAAUAUUGCACAAUGGGCGGAAGCCUGAUGCAGCAACGCCGCGUGCGGGAUGACGGCCUUCGGGUUGUAAACCGCUUUCGCCUGUGACGAAGCGUGAGUGACGGUAAUGGGUAAAGAAGCACCGGCUAACUACGUG
rnacentral:rRNA from 1 species